rnacentral:rRNA from 1 species
GUGGGGAAUAUUGGACAAUGGGCGAAAGUCUGAUCCAGCCAUGCCGCGUGUGUGAAGAAGGUCUUCGGAUUGUAAAGCACUUUAAGUUGGGAGGAAGGGCAGUAAGUUAAUACCUUGCUGUUUUGACGUUACCGACAGAAUAAGCACCGGCUAACUUCGUGCCAGCAGCCGCGGUAAUACGAAGGGUGCAAGCGUUAAUCGGAAUUACUGGGCGUAAAGCGCGCGUAGGUGGUUUUGUAAGUUGGAGGUGAAAUCCCCGGGCUCAACCUGGGAACUACCUCCAAAACUGCAUGACUAGAGUACUGUAGAGGGUAGUGGAAUUUCCUGUGUAGCGGUGAAAUGCGUAGAUAUAGGAAGGAACACCAGUGGCGAAGGCGACUACCUGGACUGAUACUGACACUGAGGUGCGAAAGCGUGGGGAGCAAACAGGAUUAGAUACCCCUGUAGUCC